rnacentral:rRNA from 1 species
CCCUGGAAACGGGGUCUAAUACCGGAUAAUACUCCUGCCUGCAUGGGUGGGGGUUGAAAGCUCCGGCGGUGAAGGAUGAGCCCGCGGCCUAUCAGCUUGUUGGUGGGGUGAUGGCCCACCAAGGCGACGACGGGUAGCCGGCCUGAGAGGGCGACCGGCCACACUGGGACUGAGACACGGCCCAGACUCCUACGGGAGGCAGCAGUGGGGAAUAUUGCACAAUGGGCGAAAGCCUGAUGCAGCGACGCCGCGUGAGGGAUGACGGCCUUCGGGUUGUAAACCUCUUUCAGCAGGGAAGAAGCGAAAGUGACGGUACCUGCAGAAGAAGCGCCGGCUAACUACGUGCCAGCAGCCGCGGUAAUACGUAGGGCGCAAGCGUUGUCCGGAAUUAUUGGGCGUAAAGAGCUCGUAGGCGGCUUGUCACGUCGGAUGUGAAAGCCCGGGGCUUAACCCCGGGUCUGCAUUCGAUACGGGCAGGCUAGAGUGUGGUAGGGGAGAUCGGAAUUCCUGGUGUAGCGGUGAAAUGCGCAGAUAUCAGGAGGAACACCGGUGGCGAAGGCGGAUCUCUGGGCCAUUACUGACGCUGAGGAGCGAAAGCGUGGGGAGCGAACAGGAUUAGAUACCCUGGUAGUCCACGCCGUAAACGUUGGGAACUAGGUGUUGGCGACAUUC